rnacentral:rRNA from 1 species
GAUGAACGCUGGCGGCGUGCCUAAUACAUGCAAGUCGAGCGAACGGACGAGAAGCUUGCUUUUCUGAUGUUAGCGGCGGACGGGUGAGUAACACGUGGAUAACCUACCUAUAAGACUGGGAUAACUUCGGGAAACCGGAGCUAAUACCGGAUAAUAUUUUGAACCGCAUGGUUCAAAAGUGAAAGACGGUCUUGCUGUCACUUAUAGAUGGAUCCGCGCUGCAUUAGCUAGUUGGUAAGGUAACGGCUUACCAAGGCAACGAUGCAUAGCCGACCUGAGAGGGUGAUCGGCCACACUGGAACUGAGACACGGUCCAGACUCCUACGGGAGGCAGCAGUAGGGAAUCUUCCGCAAUGGGCGAAAGCCUGACGGAGCAACGCCGCGUGAGUGAUGAAGGUCUUCGGAUCGUAAAACUCUGUUAUUAGGGAAGAACAUAUGUGUAAGUAACUGUGCACAUCUUGACGGUACCUAAUCAGAAAGCCACGGCUAACUACGUGCCAACAGCCGCGGUAAUACGUAGGUGGCAAGCGUUAUCCGGAAUUAUUGGGCGUAAAGCGCGCGUAGGCGGUUUUUUAAGUCUGAUGUGAAAGCCCACGGCUCAACCGUGGAGGGUCAUUGGAAACUGGAAAACUUGAGUGCAGAAGAGGAAAGUGGAAUUCCAUGUGUAGCGGUGAAAUGCGCAGAGAUAUGGAGGAACACCAGUGGCGAAGGCGACUUUCUGGUCUGUAACUGACGCUGAUGUGCGAAAGCGUGGGGAUCAAACAGGAUUAGAUACCCUGGUAGUCCACGCCGUAAACGAUGAGUGCUAAGUGUUAGGGGGUUUCCGCCCCUUAGUGCUGCAGCUAACGCAUUAAGCACUCCGCCUGGGGAGUACGACCGCAAGGUUGAAACUCAAAGGAAUUGACGGGGACCCGCACAAGCGGUGGAGCAUGUGGUUUAAUUCGAAGCAACGCGAAGAACCUUACCAAAUCUUGACAUCCUUUGACAACUCUAGAGAUAGAGCCUUCCCCUUCGGGGGACAAAGUGACAGGUGGUGCAUGGUUGUCGUCAGCUCGUGUCGUGAGAUGUUGGGUUAAGUCCCGCAACGAGCGCAACCCUUAAGCUUAGUUGCCAUCAUUAAGUUGGGCACUCUAAGUUGACUGCCGGUGACAAACCGGAGGAAGGUGGGGAUGACGUCAAAUCAUCAUGCCCCUUAUGAUUUGGGCUACACACGUGCUACAAUGGACAGUACAAAGGGCAGCGAAACCGCGAGGUCAAGCAAAUCCCAUAAAGUUGUUCUCAGUUCGGAUUGUAGUCUGCAACUCGACUACAUGAAGCUGGAAUCGCUAGUAAUCGUAGAUCAGCAUGCUACGGUGAAUACGUUCCCGGGUCU